rnacentral:rRNA from 1 species
UUGUCCGGAAUUACUGGGUGUAAAGGGAGCGUAGGCGGGACGGUAAGUCAGGUGUGAAAUAUACGUGCUCAACAUGUAGACUGCACUUGAAACUGCUGUUCUUGAGUGAAGUAGAGGUAAGCGGAAUUCCCAGUGUAGCGGUGAAAUGCGUAGAUAUUAGGAGGAACAUCGGUGGCGAAGGCGGCUUACUGGGCUUUUACUGACGCUGAGGCUCGAAAGCGUGGGGAGCAAACAGGAUUAGAUACCCUGGUAGUCCACGCUGUAAACGAUGAUUACUAGGUGUGGGGGGACUGACC